GAGGGUGCAGCUCACUGGUAGAGUGCCUGCCUAGCAUGCACAAGGUCCUGGGUUCAAUCCCCAGUACCUCCA
rnacentral:tRNA from 1 species